UUAAUGAUAUGACAAUGGGAUCCUUUGAAGCUUCGAUAGUCCUUGUCUUGAUCAUCAAAACCCUAAUGAAGGCUCAUACAUUAGAAGACUUGUUGUUGAAGCAUAUGGUUUUGUUCAAAGGACUUGCUUGAGGGGUAGGCCUCAUGGACACCCUAAUCAAGGAGAGAAUGGUCUUGAUGGACUGUGUGGCUUGACUUUCCAUCUGGUGACAUCCAAAAC
rnacentral:lncRNA from 1 species